ensembl:lncRNA
UUGUGACCUCAUGGAAUGUAGCCCACCAGGCUCCUCUGUCCAUGGGGAUUCUCCAGCAAGAACCCUGGAGUGGGUUGCCAUGCCCUUCUGCAGGGGAUCUUUCCAAACCAGGGAUUGAACCCAGGUUUCCCACACUGCAGGCAGAUUCUUUACUGUCUGAGCCACCAGGGAAGACCAUGCAUAGUAGAGUGGGUAGCCUAUCCCCUCUACAGCGAAACUUACCGACCCAGGAACAGAGCCGGCGUCUCCUGCAUUGCAGGAAGAUUCUUUAGCAGCUGAGCUACCUGGGAAGCCUCACAAUAUCCUACACAGGAGUAACUGUAAUUACUAGAGCACACAAUAUGCUGAUGACCCUUACAACCCUGGGAGAUAUGCUGCAUAAAAAGCAACGAUGAACGUUUUCUUACCGAGGGUGAACAUCCUUCUGUGCUUUGUGAUGCUCCAGGGAAGGAGUUCCAGGUUGGCAGAGAAUCUCCUGCAAGCAGUGAUUCAGAGUCCCAGGCUGAACAACCAUCUUUAUCACACAGCUUCCAAAGGUACCCUGCUCUCACCACUGGAGCCCACAGAAUGGGAGGUGAGCAAGGGGAGGAAACAUACUCACUGACUUAAAACUCUGCCUGGGAAGUAGUGACACCACUUUUGCUUGGAUUGCCACUGGAGAGAAACACAGCAUGUGGCCACACAGUGAAAAGCUCAUUGGAAAAUGCAAUCUCUGGUGGGGCAGCUCCACAAGCUAUUUUGCAAAGGAGAACAGAUUUAGCUCUUUCUGGCCCACCUUUGGCCAGCUUCAUUCUCUACCAUCACCCACUUCACUCCAGCCACAACUUGACAUUUGCCUGUGAAAACAGUAGCUGUCCCUAGUUAUCCCCUACUCAUAAUGCAGGUGUCAGAGCAAAUAUUACUUCCCAGGGAGGCCAUUCCUCACCUGUAGAUUGGGCUAGGUCCACCUGUCCAUCACAUAGCUCAUUUUCUUUUAUUUCAUAGCACUUACCACAGUUUUAAUCUUUCCAUUUUGUGCAUACUUGUUUAUUUAGUAUAUUUCUCUGUCACUAGUCUUUAAGUCCCUGAGCAGGUACCUUGUU